AAUUACAGUUUGUACAUUCUCAGGAAUUGUGAUUGUUAUUAUCAGACAAUAUAUGACAAGAUUCAGCUCCUGUUAAGAUGAUGACUGUAGUGUGGAAUUUGCACUCUGUUUUCCCUUCUAAGUUUUUGUUUC